rnacentral:lncRNA from 1 species
GGAGCUCCCAGAGGCGGUGGCGGGGGCGCCAGGGGGCGUCCUCCCAGCCCCGGGGACCGGACUGUGCACCUGGUGGCUGCAGGAGCUGCACUGUGGACUCCCCGGCCAGAUGGAAGCUUUCAGGUCCUCCAUUCCAGAGUUGACUGCCCAUCCAGCUCUUGAGCCCUCGGGACCCGUGCUCAGUUUUAUGAACUGAAGGCUUGGCCAGCAGUUGAUUUCUACAGGAUCCAAAGCACAUUGAUUGAGAGUUUGAAACACUGGACUGUAUCAUUUACUCCUGAAAUUGUUUCUCCAUCCCUCUGCCAUCAGCAACUGACUCCAUCUUGCAUACAGUUGCCCAUGAUUCAGUUGAGAAAAUGUCUAACUAUGUUCAUCUCAAGCCUCAUGCUUAUUUUUUAAUCCUUGUCAUUUGGUUUUCAAAGCAGUUUGUUAUUGAGGUAGGACUGGGGAGGGGGGUUGCCCAAGAUAUGCACAUUAUAUAUGAGAGUGAGAAAGAAUUUCUAAUUGAAUUCCAUCUACUUUACUCUGUUGAAGAUUAUGAAAAACAAUGAAGUGCUCUCUUUCUAGGAUAAUAACAGGUAUGGUUAAGUUUAUUCCCUUUGUCUCCUGAAUUUACUAGGAUUCUGAAGUAGAAAAAAGUGUAUCUUUUGAUCACUUAUAAACAUUUUUAGGAGUUCCCGUCGUGGCGCAGUGGUUAACGAAUCCGACUAGGAACCAUGAGGUUGCGGGUUCGGUCCCUGCCCUUGCUCAGUGGGUUAACGAUCCGGUGUUGCCGUGAGCUGUGGUGUAGGUCACAGACGCGGCUCGGAUCCUGCGUUGCUGUGGCUCUGGCGUAGGCCGGUGGCUACAGCUCCGCUUCGACCCCUAGCCUGGGAACCUCCAUAUGCCGCGGGAAUGGCCCAAGAAAAUAGCAAAAAAAAAAGACAAAAAAAAAAAAAAAAAAAAAAAAAACAAACAAAAAACAACAUUUUUAAAUUGGUCAGUGAGAGCUAAAUAACACAAAUCAUUAACUUCACCUCCAGAAAGUUCAGACUCAAGUAUUUAAUGUACAAUUGUAAUAUCUCACUCCAGUGUUGCUUAGAUGCAACUCUCCUCCCUCUAUUGUUCCUGGGUUUAUUAAAAUGAAUUUGAGGUAAAUUUGCUAGUUCCUAGAACUAUUCAUGUUUCUAUGUUCUUUUGCAUUCAUUCCUUGUUCAACCAUUUACAAAUUUUCAUAAGGCUUUUAUUUGGAGUUCUGCUUUUCUUAAUUUAGAUAAAUAUUAUAACCUUGACAUAUUUUAUGUCUCAACUAUAUGGUUUAUAUAUAUGUUAGUGGGGGGGAAAUCCCUCCUUUAUGAAAGUAGGAUGUGUAUAAAACAUAGUCAUCCUUAGGUA